CUCCGCCUCCUCGGGGACACGCCUCCUGCCGCGCCCUUCCGGCCCCCGCCCCCACGGGGCGCGCGGAGCCGGAAGGCUAUCCGGGUCGAGCCACCAAAUGCUAGGACACAUGAUCCAUCAGAAAUGAGGGCUGACUAUGGCUGCUGUUCAGACAUAGAGAACCAGUGGUAACUGAGUACAUGAGAAAAUACAUCUUACCAAGAAAGAUUUUGUACCGAACAUGGAUAUGAUUUCUGCAGCUGUGGCAGCCAUCUUGCAACUAUGAAGCAAAGAACACAAAGAUAAAAGGCAAGCACCCUAAAAAUAGCAGAGCCAGAAGAUGGAGAGCCUAAAUAACAUUAUUGAGCAGUUGAAGUAAAUCUUGCAACUAUUUA